rnacentral:rRNA from 1 species
GACGUAGGGCGCGAGCGUUGUCCGGAUUUAUUGGGCGUAAAGAGCUCGUAGGCGGCUUGUCGCGUCGUCCGUGAAAUCCCCGGGCUCAACCCGGGAACUGCGUCCGAUACUGGAAGGCUUGAAUCCGGGAGAGGGAUGUGGAAUUCCAGGUGUAGCGGUGAAAUGCGUAGAUAUCUGGAGGAACACCGGUGGCGAAGGCGACCAUC